rnacentral:rRNA from 1 species
UACAGAGGUCCCAAGCGUUGUUCGGAUUCACUGGGCGUAAAGGGUGCGUAGGUGGUCAGGUAAGUCUGAUGUGAAAUCUCUGGGCUCAACCCAGAAACUGCAUUGGAUACUAUCUGGCUAGAGGAGUGGAGGGGGGGACUGGAAUACUUGGUGUAGCAGUGAAAUGCGUAGAUAUCAAGUGGAACACCAGUGGCGAAGGCGAGUCCCUGGACACUUCCUGACACUGAGGCACGAAAGCUAGGGGAGCAAACAGG